CGGGUGAGUAAUGCGUGACCAACCUGCCCCAUGCUCCAGAAUAGCUCUUGGAAACGGGUGGUAAUGCUGGAUGCUCCAACUUGACGCAUGUCUUGUUGGGAAAGUGUUUAGUGGCAUGGGAUGGGGUCGCGUCCUAUCAGCUUGUAGGCGGGGUAAUGGCCCACCUAGGCUUUGACGGGUAGCCGGCCUGAGAGGGCGGACGGCCACAUUGGGACUGAGAUACGGCCCAGACUCCUACGGGAGGCAGCAGUG
rnacentral:rRNA from 1 species